rnacentral:rRNA from 1 species
UACGUAGGGUGCAAGCGUUGUCCGGAAUUAUUGGGCGUAAAGAGCUCGUAGGCGGUUUGUCGCGUCGGCUGUGAAAACCUGAGGCUCAACCUCAGGCCUGCAGUCGAUACGGGCGGACUUGAGUACUGCAGGGGGGACUGGAAUUCCUGGUGUAGCGGUGAAAUGCGCAGAUAUCAGGAGGAACACCGGUGGCGAAGGCGGGUCUCUGGGCCGAUACUGACGCUGAGGAGCGAAAGCGUGGGGAGCGAACAGG